rnacentral:lncRNA from 1 species
AGCAAGACAAAGGUGAUGAUCCAUUGGCUAAGAAAAAACCAAAUCAAAUACAAGACAAAAUAAGAAAACUAAUUUGGUUGAGCUUAUAAAUAAGUAAAUAGUAAAUGAUAAUAGAUAAGAAGAGGUUCAUUAAGAGAAUAUAAAUAAGAGUUGUAUCAUUUGCGAACUUCACUUUGUUCUUCAUGGCACGAUUGAUUGUAAUAAAACAAUAUUUCCUCCCCCUCAUAUGCAUUGAACAUUCGGAGUCCAAAUACCAUUAAUCGUUGCACUGCACUGCUUCUUUCAAAAUCACCAUUGGAUUUUCUUAAGCAUGUAACCAGUUACUGCAUUUAUGUAACCAGUUACAACAUGCUUUUGCAGAAAUUUUCAAAUUGUUGAUGUUUUUGUCCCGUAGCCUACUGCUGUUACAUUCCCCCUCUGUGAUCAUGACCAAAAAUAUGUUCUCAUUGUCAACUCUUGCCUUGAAACUCUAGCUUCAUCUUCUUAAGGUUGUUUCUUGUUGGAAUUGAACUCUCUUGUAAAAUGCUCAAGCUUUUGACAAUUAAAGCACCACACGCUGCUAUUGUUAACCAUUCUUCUUCCACCUCUACCUCUUAGAUUGCCUCAUCUAGAUUUGUUUGAUUUAGAAACACUACUACCAUCGUUUUCACCCUUUUAGAAUGUUGAAUCCUUGGAACUUUGGGACUCUUUUCUACCAAAAUUCUGAAAAUCCUUUCUACCUUUGCUCAUAGACCACUUUCCCUUCACCUUUUUGUCUCUCUCAUUGAAUCAGGCUUACAAAGUGAUCUUCGUAUUUACCUUAUCAAU